AAAAAAGAACUGCUGUGUGGUGGUAUUCUCAGGAGGCUUUGCAAAUUCCUCCACCUCGAAGCUGUGUGGCUUUCCUCUCUCUGGAUUCCCCUAAACAGGUGGUAGCGAGCCCUGUUGGGGAGCUUUAACAUGCAUGUUAUGCCUUGGCCCCAAAGGCGUGUUUGGGAAAUUUCCCUUUGCUUGGAAGGGGUAAAUGGUUCUGCAGAUCAAGAGGCAAGUAUAGCUGUGGACCCAGAGGCAGUGCCCUGGGUGGCUGUGCUCCGCAGCGGGGAUGCUGCUGCAGUGCGAGGCUGAAGGGACAUUUGUGGGGUGGGUAUGGCUUGGUUGGGUGGCUGAGGCUCUCCAAUGGUGACAGCCCCUCGAGCUCUGGGCUGUUUGCUCGGCGUGCCUGGCUUGGUUGGUAUGGGGCAGUGCUUGGCUUCAGAGAUUCUUGGCUGGAAAGAGACACCCUGCUAUUGUGUGGCCACCCAGCUAAGAAAUUGCCACCUUUCUGCUCUUGUGAGUGAUGGUGUUUAAGAAAGAAGGAUCCAUGAAGAGAUCCUCAAUGGCUUUAUUUGUUUAUAAUGCAGAUGUAGGUUAAAUGGCCAUUUAUAAACAUGGAUAUACCAAUAGAGCUUACGGUGCCUUGGGCACAGAACAAAGCAUCGGGUCCUUCAGACAGAGUUCCACAGGGAUGUGAGCACCUCAUACCCUCGUUCUGGGGAACACUUUCCACAGAGGGUAGACUCAGAUGCUUCAGGGAACUGGAGACCAUUAGCUACAGUACAUAGGCAGCUUGGUCACAAAGAGAUGAAACCCAGGAAUGUUCACAGCUGUGCAUCUUCCAACCACCUGGCACUUUGCACCAAGGCUGAUUCUGAGGGCUGUACAGGCUCAUGAUGAGCUAGGACGGGGAGUCUUGCUUCUUCCUCUCAUUCCAAAGAAAAAUCAAUGUACUCUUUAUCCCACUCAGAGGAAUACCCACAGGCACACAACCUUGCCACCCAAAAUAACUAUGGAAGACGUUUUCCAAGCUGCUAACAUUUCCUGAUCUCCCACAUUUCAGAUCCAGUUCCUGCACUACUGUGCAUUAAUGCCUCCAGCCUGUCUAGGCACCCAAGCAUCAGCAUCAUUCCUGUUUUACAUGGGCCUCAUACAAAGCAGAUAAUUUCCCUGGGCUCACACAGGUUUGUGGCAGAACAGGGGGCGAAUCUAGAAAGCCAUAAGGAACAGCAGAAGCUUCAACCUGGCUUUUUGUUCUGAUCGCUCCCAUUCUCACAUUCCACAUCCUUAGGGAAUGUGACAUCUUUAAUGUUACCAAAGGUGUUUAUAUGGACUGAACUAGGAAAUAAGUUUUCCAUCACAAUACCCACUUCAGAGAGGAUGAGGGGGAAAAGCCCACUGCUUCUAGUUGUAUUCUGCUCAUGACUAGAAAAAGAGAAGUCAUAAGGGAAACUGCUCCCCUGGCUUGCCAGCAGCCAGCACCAGCCAGGGAGAAGGGAAGGUUCACGUGUUCAUGGGCCUUGUCCCAGGCUCCUCAUGGUGGCAAUGAGAGAGGUUGAGUUGGCUCCAGACCUUGCCUGGAGCCUGCAGCACAAGCAGGAAGAGCAGCAGUUGGACUAUGAACUGCCCUGGGCCGCGCUUCAAAACUCUCACUCUCUUCAAGCCUAAGGGAAUAUGUACUUUACACCACUCAUUUCUGGUUUCCACAGCGAGUUCCCCAGCACUUCCCCUCCCAGGGGAGCCCGGACAGGCCGGGUGCUCUUUGCACAGCUCCUCCAUGCAGGCACUUUGCUGGUAACAAACCCUGCCUGGGGAACUCCCGGCGGCACCGAAAUGCCAUUUCUGUUGAUAUUUGCAGUGAUGUAAUAAGCCAAACAUAUCCCCACCAAAGUGUCACCAACUUUACUGGAGUUACUGUUCCCACAAAGUGUAAUUAAGCUGUGGUGCUCAUUGCCAUGAGAUACCGGUGGAGCAAAGCCUCCGAAGGCAUUUUAAUGGAUAUCAGGUAGUUAUCUCGGUAACAAAACAAUCCUGGGUAUGAUUAAGAGGAUAUUGCAUUUUAAGGAUUGUAACACCUCCUGGUUCAGAGUCAUUAGUGACUUAUGAAAGGCAUUCCAUUACAAUUAGAGGUUUUCUUGUACUCUGAAGCUGAGGAUGCCAGCUGCUGCUGGAGACAGGGCACUAAAUGAGGCAGCCAGGCUGCUCUGGGAGGACCAGGCUGCUGCCCUGCUCAGCCGUGCAUGCAGCCUGUUGUUUACCCAGCAGCCAGGAGACACAAGAACAACCUUCCCUCUGCUGCUGUCACCUUGCUUGAAACCAGGAAGGAUUUCCUCUCUGGAUCAAAGCAGCACCACAGCAGCUGUUGUGUAGAAUAGUCUUGAAUUCUGCCAAAAAAACAUUCUGGGGUGUGUUUUUUUUGGGAUGUGAAUUCAUUUUGAAGCAAUGCUGAGAGAACUAAGGUUGUUUCAUAUGUUUGCUUGUUUUGGGUAACAGCUUAUGACCACAGAGGGAAUCUGAACCUCAAACAUGUGCAGUCCUGCACAUUGAAUAGGACGAGAGAAAACAGUCUUAAGUUGCACCAGGGAUGGUUUAGGUUGAAUAUCAGGAAACAUUUCUUCACCAAAAGGGUUGUCAAACACUGAAACAGGUUGCCCAGGGAAGCAGUGGAAUCACUAUCCCGGGAGUUAUUAAAAAGAUCUGUGGAUGUGGCACUUAGGGACAUGCCUUAGUGGUGGACUUGAUGACUUUAAAAUCUUUUUCAAUCUAAAUUAUUCUAUAAUUCUGUGCUGGUGCCCUUGUAAUUAAUUUCUGAUGGGGUAUGGAUGCUAUCUAGCCAGUGAACAUUUCCAUUAGGGUCUUAAAAUAAUCCAUGGUACCUUGAUGUGUUCCAGGACUAAAAUACAAAACAAAGUGUUCUUUAACAAUUCACUGUAGCCAAUCCAUGUGCCACCAUUAAAGUUCCAAACAGCCUGGCCUUUGUGCUGAGGGGCCUCUGGAGCUCUGCCCAUCACCCUGGGAGCUGCAGGACCAGGUGAGCCAGAAGAGGAUGAGCCUUUGGGGAUGGAGCAAGGGGCUCAGCUUCAAAUCUGCAGACUCCAGAUGCCCAAGCAAGGGCUGUGGGGAGGAACAUAUAGGUAGAGCCAGGCCUACAGGGUUAGAAAGCCAAUACCAGCUGCUGGAUUUUUUUUUUUUUUUUUUUUUUUUUUUUUUUUUUGUCUCCAAAAUCAGCUGGUUUUUAAGAGAGAAAAUAGGGGUUUCCCAUCAUGUCCCAUCACAAACAGUGCUCUCAGUGAUAACUUCCACUUCAGAGCAUCGCUGCUCCAGUUUACUUUAAGCCUCUCUUGGCAGAGUUUCACGUGUUUUGAGAUAUUUUGCAACACUGCUGAAGUGCUGGAGGCUUAACUGUUUGGGCAGUGUAACACGCAAGCCAGGGCAGGAAGGCAAAGAAGGAAAAUAAAGACUUGUGGAUUUCCAAAGCUAUGUUUCUUCCUUCCUGCUUUUGUUUGCUUGUUUGGUGCCCGAAAAGGGCAAUGCAUAUUCCCAGAGUUGUGGGAAUACUGUUUCUUUUCCGGUGCAGUGUUUCCAGUAAGCACUUUGCUAUAAAUGGGGUUAAGACUAACAAAAGUUUAUUGUUAAAUCCCUGUGUCUUUGUUUAGCUCCUGUCAUGAUCAUAAUUAGCAUUUUCCACUUCUGCAAGCCUGUCAUCUGCAGAGCUGAAAGUGCUUUAAAAUAUUUGAAGCAUCUAACAGGGGGAGGGAGUAUUAAUAGCUCAAUUUAACAGAUGGGCAAACUGACACAUAAAAGCAGCAAGUGCCCUGUCCUUGAAGCAGGGCCAGAGCCAGCAAGUAGUCAGCUCCAACUACAAAGUUUCGAAAGUGGGUCAAAAAAAUAAAGAGAAAGGCUGUAGAUCUGUCCCAGUUUGGAAAAUGAUGGGAAAUAGUUCCAGUUAGAGUGGUACUCAGCCCAGAUGGACCAGACAGAUGAAUUGCUGGAUGAGCUACUGCUUAUAUGGCUAAGUGGCUCAUCUCUUGAUUUCUGUUCUGCUAACAUUUGUCCCUGGGACAAAGAGAAAAACACAGUCCAUGAUGUUCCAAAAUAGUUGGAAAGCUGAAACAGCUGCUAAAAUAAGCAAGUGUCCUGUUGGCUGGGCUCUGCAGGUCAGGGGAUUGCAAAGCACCCACAGAUGUUGAGGCCACAGAGGAAAUGUCUUUGAGCAGGGCCUGGGGACAGCAGGAGGAGGCUCAGCUGUGCACAAACAGCAGAGACCCAAAGAGCUGGACACAGACCCAGCAAAGCGACCAGAACCAGAUUAAACUUCCCCUUUCAACCCAGAGAAGCUGAUAUGGGAGUUUCCCUUCUCUAAAGGGCAGCAGAGCUGCAAACCAAUAUUCAUUUAUAGUCUGGAGGCAGCUGCUGGUCCCUGCAGUGCAGGUCAGGACAUGAGCUGUCUCAGUGCUCCCAGCACCUGUGGGAGGGCAAAGAAAGAAGCAAAACCAAAGAGGAAUUUUCUGUGCUGGACUUUCCAUGUGCUUUAACACAACAGUCCAAGUCUAUUAGCACAAACCCUCCUGAGGAGCUGCCAUAUGAACACAACAUCCCACAGCCCCUGGGCUGGUGUGUCCACCGAGCGAGGCUCCAUCUGAGUCUGUUGGGCAGAGCCCUGCCACCCCUCUGCUAUCCUGUCACAGAGAGUGGGAAGAACAGCUGAGCUUUAUGCUUUCCAAAACAAGCACAGAUAAUGUUUUCUUAUUUUUUUCUUCUUCUUCUUUCCCAGAAGCUGUUGUCCUGCUGUGCAUGAAGCGUGUUUGAAGUCAUGUCCAGAAGGAAAGUCCUCUAGAUCAGGUAGGGACUCACACUAUGGCUCAUAAAGCUUUUAUCCACAGGGAAAUAUUGCAAACAGAAAUGGGUUUUUUCCUUCCUGUAGCAUUGAGUCACUU
rnacentral:lncRNA from 1 species